CAACAGUGAUGAGCUUCAACUUUAGUCCGUGUUUUUGAACACAAUGAUAUCAUUAAAGUUCUGAGUGA
ensembl:snoRNA SNORD18 Small nucleolar RNA SNORD18